CACGUAGGUGGCAAGCGUUGUCCGGAUUUACUGGGCGUCAAGAGCGCGCAGGCGGUCGUUCAAGUCGCGUGUGAAAGCCCCCGGCUCAACUGGGGAGGGUCACGCGAUACUGAUCGACUCGAAGGCAGGAGAGGGAAGUGGAAUUCCCGGUGUAGUGGUGAAAUGCGUAGAUAUCGGGAGGAACACCAGUGGCGAAGGCGACUACCUGGCCUGUUCUUGACGCUGAGGCGCGAAAGCUAGGGGAGCAAACGGG
rnacentral:rRNA from 1 species